ACGGAGGGUGCAAGCGUUAUCCGGAUUCACUGGGUUUAAAGGGUGCGUAGGUGGGUUGGUAAGUCCGUGGUGAAAUCCCCAAGCUUAACUUGGGAACUGCCGUGGAUACUAUCAAUCUUGAAUAUCGUUGAGGUUAGCGGAAUAUGUCAUGUAGCGGUGAAAUGCUUAGAUAUGACAUAGAACACCGAUAGCGGAGGCAGCUAACUAAGCGAUCAUUGACACUGAGGCACGAAAGCGUGGGGAGCAAACAGGA
rnacentral:rRNA from 1 species